rnacentral:rRNA from 1 species
AGAGUUUGAUCCUGGCUCAGGAUGAACGCUAGCUACAGGCUUAACACAUGCAAGUCGAGGGGCAGCAUGUCGGUUGCUUGCAACCGACGAUGGCGACCGGCGCACGGGUGAGUAACGCGUAUCCAACCUACCCUUGUCCAUCGGAUAACCCGUCGAAAGGCGGCCUAACACGAUAUGCGGUUCACAGCAGGCAUCUAACGUGAACGAAAUGUGAAGGAGAAGGAUGGGGAUGCGUCUGAUUAGCUUGUUGGCGGGGUAACGGCCCACCAAGGCAACGAUCAGUAGGGGUUCUGAGAGGAAGGUCCCCCACAUUGGAACUGAGACACGGUCCAAACUCCUACGGGAGGCAGCAGUGAGGAAUAUUGGUCAAUGGACGAGAGUCUGAACCAGCCAAGUAGCGUGCAGGAAGACGGCCCUAUGGGUUGUAAACUGCUUUUAUAGGGGGAUAAAGUGUGCCACGUGUGGCAUAUUGCAGGUACCCUAUGAAUAAGGACCGGCUAAUUCCGUGCCAGCAGCCGCGGUAAUACGGAAGGUCCGGGCGUUAUCCGGAUUUAUUGGGUUUAAAGGGAGCGUAGGCCGUCUUAUAAGCGUGUUGUGAAAUGUCGGGGCUCAACCUGGGCAUUGCAGCGCGAACUGUGAGACUUGAGUGCGCAGGAAGUAGGCGGAAUUCGUCGUGUAGCGGUGAAAUGCUUAGAUAUGACGAAGAACUCCGAUUGCGAAGGCAGCCUGCUGUAGCGCAACUGACGCUGAAGCUCGAAAGCGUGGGUAUCGAACAGGAUUAGAUACCCUGGUAGUCCACGCGGUAAACGAUGGAUGCUCGCUGUUUGCGUCUGACGUAAGCGGCCAAGCGAAAGCGUUAAGCAUCCCACCUGGGGAGUACGCCGGCAACGGUGAAACUCAAAGGAAUUGACGGGGGCCCG